rnacentral:rRNA from 1 species
GCUCCAAUAGCGUAUAUUUAAGUUGUUGCAGUUAAAAAGCUCGUAGUUGGACCUUGGGUUGGUUCGAUCGGUCUGCUUACAUGGUGUGCAUCAGUCGGUUCGUCCUUCUGCUGGUGUCGUGUUCCUGUCCUUAAUUGGUCGGGUCGUGCCUCUGGCGCUGUUACUUUGAAGAAAUUAGAGUGCUCAAGCAAGCCUAUGCU